CCAGCCCAGAUUCAAGAUGUAGUAAAGCUACAGAUUCCCUCUGCAUCUGGAUGGGCAAAGCAUCAACAUCACACUGUAAAAGGAGAUAUGCCAGAAUAGAAAGAAUUUAAAAUGUAACUUAGUCAUACUUAAAAGGUUAAUAACUGACACAAAGGAGAUAAACUUGCCCAAGGUCUCCCAUUUUGUAAAUGGUAGAGUGGAAGUUGACAUCAGAUCUUUCUUUCCAGGGAUGUCAAGCAGAACAGAACCCUUUGGGAAGACAUGUUGAUCAUCUUCCAGCUAGCCUAACAACCCCUGAAGCCUCAGAGCUCUGCAGUUUUCAAGGCAUCUUCAGACAAGAAUCCUCAUGAAGCAUGGCAUUUCAUCACCACUCUAUCCAACUUCCUAGAAUUACCACAGAACUAUCUUUUUGAGGUCCUGAUGACUUUUGGAGCAUCUGAGACAGGAAGGGAAUAUUGGGUUACUACUUCUUGCUAGACCAGCAUAUUAGACCAGCAUAUAACCUUCCACUCUUGUUAUAACUUCUUUUCCCUCCACUUAUUUAUGAUUCUCAUAUUUGACAAUCACUCAUCUCCCUUCCC
rnacentral:lncRNA from 10 species